AUGUUUACCCUUAUGGCUUUGCCUAAGAAUGUUGAUCUCCAUCUUAAAAGAUUGGGAGAUAUUGAAUUAAACAUUAGAAGCUUUAUGACUUUACAAUUUGAGCACAAUAGUUUCUUUAGAAAAGAGCUUAAAGAACAAAAAAGCUUUAUCGAAUACAUGAAUAAAGAGCUUGAUGAUAUGUCUAAAGAGUUUUAUGGUUUGAAUUCUCAGAUUGCUCGUGUUGAAAAAUCUAUUGCCCAAAUUUCUGAUAAGCAAGCCACCUUAGUUAAUAAGAUGGCUGCCAAACCAGAAGGGUUAGGGGAGAAUAAUGAUGAAGAUCUAAAAGUUAUUGAUGUGUCCCCUAUUAAAUCUUUGUUUUGCAAUAUGAAUCUUGAUAAUGAUGGGACUGGAGAUGAGUCAACUUUAGUUAAAAGGCAUCCCAAUAAUUCGGAGUUUUUAGAUCUUGAUACUAAAUUUGGUAAAAGUGGGAUUGGAGAGGUCAAGACUUUACAUAGCAUUGAACCCACUAUUACGGAUUUCAAGGAAUUUAAUUAUGAUAAUUGUUCUUUAAUAGAUUGUAUUUCCUUGUUGCAAUCCGUGUUGAAUUCUCCCCAUGCUUAUAGUCAAAAUAAAGUUUUUACCAAACAUAUUGUUGAUGCCUUGAUGCAAUCUUAUGAGGAAAAACUUGAGUUGUAA
rnacentral:rRNA from 1 species